GACGAACGCUGGCGGCGUGCUUAACACAUGCAAGUCGAACGGAAAGGCCCUGCUUUUGUGGGGUGCUCGAGUGGCGAACGGGUGAGUAACACGUGAGUAACCUGCCCUUGACUUUGGGAUAACUUCAGGAAACUGGGGCUAAUACCGGAUAGGAGCUCCUGCUGCAUGGUGGGGGUUGGAAAGUUUCGGCGGUUGGGGAUGGACUCGCGGCUUAUCAGCUUGUUGGUGGGGUAGUGGCUUACCAAGGCUUUGACGGGUAGCCGGCCUGAGGGGGUGACCGGCCACAUUGGGAAUGGGGUACGGCCCAGACUCCUACGGGAGGCAGCAGUGGGGAAUAAUGCAAAAUGGGCGGAAGCCUGAUGCAGCAACGCCGCGUGCGGGAUGACGGCCUUCGGGUUGUAAACCGCUUUCGCCUGUGACGAAGCGUGAGUGACGGUAAUGGGUAAAGAAGCAACGGCUAACUACGUG
rnacentral:rRNA from 1 species